AACGCACGAGACCUGCGGACCUGCGGAAGGAUCAUUACACAAUACAAUAUGAAGGCUGUCCGCAGCUGGAGUAUUUUAUUACCCUUGUCUUUUGCGCACUUGUUGUUUCCUGGGCGGGUUCGCUCGCCACCAGGACCACCAAAUAAACCUUUUUUAUGCAGUUGCAAUCAGCGUCAGUACAAACAAUGUAAAUCAUUUACAACUUUUAACAACGGAUCUCU
rnacentral:misc_RNA from 1 species